GUAACCUGCCCUUGACUCUGGGAUAAGCCUGGGAAACCGGGUCUAAUACUGGAUACGACCUUCCCGCGCAUGCGGUGUUGGUGGAAAGCUUUUGUGGUUUUGGAUGGACUCGCGGCCUAUCAGCUUGUUGGUGGGGUAAUGGCCUACCAAGGCGACGACGGGUAGCCGGCCUGAGAGGGUGACCGGCCACACUGGGACUGAGACACGGCCCAGACUCCUACGGGAGGCAGCAGUGGGGAAUAUUGCACAAUGGGCGCAAGCCUGAUGCAGCGACGCCGCGUGAGGGAUGAAGGCCUUCGGGUUGUAAACCUCUUUCAGUAGGGAAGAAGCUGAUUCCUUUUGGGGUUGGUGACGGUACCUGCAGAAGAAGCGCCGGCUAACUACGUGCCAGCAGCCGCGGUAAUACGUAGGGCGCAAGCGUUAUCCGGAAUUAUUGGGCGUAAAGAGCUCGUAGGCGGUUUGUCGCGUCUGCCGUGAAAGUCCGGGGCUUAACUCCGGAUCUGCGGUGGGUACGGGCAGACUAGAGUGCAGUAGGGGAGACUGGAAUUCCUGGUGUAGCGGUGAAAUGCGCAGAUAUCAGGAGGAACACCGAUGGCGAAGGCAGGUCUCUGGGCUGUAACUGACGCUGAGGAGCGAAAGCAUGGGGAGCGAACAGGAUUAGAUACCCUGGUAGUCCAUGCCGUAAACGUUGGGCACUAGGUGUGGGGGACAUUCCACGUUUUCCGCGCCGUAGCUAACGCAUUAAGUGCCCCGCCUGGGGAGUACGGCCGCAAGGCUAAAACUCAAAGGAAUUGACGGGGGCCCGCACAAGCGGCGGAGCAUGCGGAUUAAUUCGAUGCAACGCGAAGAACCUUACCAAGGCUUGACAUGAACCGGAAUGAUGCAGAGAUGUGUCAGCCACUUGUGGCCGGUUUACAGGUGGUGCAUGGUUGUCGUCAGCUCGUGUCGUGAGAUGUUGGGUUAAGUCCCGCAACGAGCGCAACCCUCGUUCCAUGUUGCCAGCGGGUUA
rnacentral:rRNA from 1 species